GACGAACGCUGGCGGCGUGCCUAAUACAUGCAAGUCGAACGCACAGUUUAUACCGUAGCUUGCUACACCAUAGACUGUGAGUUGCGAACGGGUGAGUAACGCGUAGGUAACCUGCCUGGUAGCGGGGGAUAACUAUUGGAAACGAUAGCUAAUACCGCAUAAUAUUAAUUAUUGCAUGAUAAUUGAUUGAAAGAUGCAACUGCAUCACUACCAGAUGGACCUGCGUUGUAUUAGCUAGUAGGUGAGGUAACGGCUCACCUAGGCGACGAUACAUAGCCGACCUGAGAGGGUGAUCGGCCACACUGGGACUGAGACACGGCCCAGACUCCUACGGGAGGCAGCAGUAGGGAAUCUUCGGCAAUGGACGAAAGUCUGACCGAGCAACGCCGCGUGAGUGAAGAAGGUUUUCGGAUCGUAAAGCUCUGUUGUAAGAGAAGAACGGGUGUGAGAGUGGAAAGUUCACACUGUGACGGUAUCUUACCAGAAAGGGACGGCUAACUACGUG
rnacentral:rRNA from 1 species